UCGAGAAUUUUUCACAAUGGGGGAAACCCUGAUGGAGCGACGCCGCGUGGGGGAUGAAUGGCUUCGGCCCGUAAACCCCUGUCAUUUGCGAACAAACCCCGUGGUUUAACAGACCGCGGGCUGAUAGUAGCAGAAGAGGAAGGGACGGCUAACUCUGUGCCAGCAGCCGCGGUAAUACAGAGGUCCCGAGCGUUGUUCGGAUUCACUGGGCGUAAAGGGUGCGUAGGCGGUGGGGUAAGUUUAAGGUGAAAUCUCCGGGCUCAACCCGGAAAAGCCUCGAAUACUAUCCCGCUGGAGGAUCGGAGGGGAGACUGGAAUUCUCGGUGUAGCAGUGAAAUGCGUAGAUAUCGAGAGGAACACCAGUGGCGAAGGCGAGUCUCUGGACGAUUCCUGACGCUGAGGCACGAAAGCCAGGGGAGCAAACGGG
rnacentral:rRNA from 1 species